UACGUAGGGCGCAAGCGUUGUCCGGAAUUAUUGGGCGUAAAGAGCUUGUAGGCGGUUUGUCGCGUCUGCUAUGAAAAUCCGGGGCUCAACCCCGGACUUGCAGUGGGUACGGGCAGACUAGAGUGUGGUAGGGGAGACUGGAAUUCCUGGUGUAGCAGUGAAAUGCGUAGAUAUCGAGAGGAACACCAGUGGCGAAGGCGAGUCCCCUGGACAACACCUGACACUGAGGCACGAAAGCUAGGGGAGCAAACAGG
rnacentral:rRNA from 1 species